CAGUAUUAACACUCCAGUGAUGGUGGAACUCGAGGGCGAGACAGAUCCACUCGAGAUUGCUAUGAAGGAGCUGCGUGAACGGAAGAUCCCUUUAUUCGGCGAUACCGAAUAUGCUCCAGUAUGAACGCUAUGGAGAGACAGAUCCACUUAAUAAGUCCUUAAUAAUCCACUCCAAAUGAUAUUGCGACAAGACGAGGGUAUGUUUACACAUUUAUACUCAUCCAUUUGUGGUGGUUGCUGUAGAAUAGGGUGACAUCAGGAUCAAAAGCGAGAAUCAGAGAAAAGCCCAGCGGGUUACAAUGCGGAUCAAUCAAUAGAAGUUUUGGCUUUCUUAGCCUAGAAGUACUUCCGACUUGGCAGCAUUGCAUUUUGCCACGUGCACAAGCUUAGUACCUCCACGUGGCAUCGCGUAAUUUUGCCACGUGUACCAGACCUCUUACAUGUGCGUUAAAAGCUUUUGGACAUCCAGUCGAGCUUUGAGAUUGGAUUCACCAGUAGCUGUAGCUGUUUUUGAUC